GGGCUCGUAGCUUAGCUCGGUAGAGCGUUCGGCUCUUAACCGAAUGGUCGGGGGUUCAAAUCCCCUCGAGCCCG
rnacentral:tRNA from 2 species